rnacentral:rRNA from 1 species
UACGGGAGGCAGCAGUGAGGAAUAUUGGACAAUGGCCGAGAGGCUGAUCCAGCCAUGCCGCGUGCGGGAGGACGGCCCUAUGGGUUGUAAACCGCUUUUGUCAGGGGGCAAUAAGUGCUACGUGUAGCACGAUGAGAGUACGGGGCGAAUAAGCAUCGGCUAACUCCGUGCCAGCAGCCGCGGUAAU